rnacentral:rRNA from 1 species
CCUACGUGUGGCAGCAGUGGGGAAUAUUGGACAAUGGGCGAAAGCCUGAUCCAGCCAUGCCGCGUGUGUGAAGAAGGCCUUCGGGUUGUAAAGCACUUUCAGUGGGGAAGAAAGCCUUGGGGCUAAUACCCUCGAGGAAGGACAUCACCCACAGAAGAAGCACCGGCUAACUCCGUGCCAGCAGCCGCGGUAAUACGGAGGGUGCGAGCGUUAAUCGGAAUUACUGGGCGUAAAGCGCGCGUAGGCGGUCUGAUAAGCCGGUUGUGAAAGCCCCGGGCUCAACCUGGGAACGGCAUCCGGAACUGUCAGGCUAGAGUGCAGGAGAGGAAGGUAGAAUUCCCGGUGUAGCGAUGAAAUGCGUAGAGAUCGGGAGGAAUACCAGUGGCGAAGGCGGCCUUCUGGACUGACACUGACGCUGAGGUGCGAAAGCGUGGGUAGCAAACAGGAUUAGAUACCCCAGUAGUC